rnacentral:rRNA from 1 species
ACGUUAGUUGCUAACGCGUGAAGGCGAGCACUCUAGACGAACUGCCGUUGACAAAACGGAGGAAGUGGGAUGACGUCAAAUCAUCAUGCCCUUAUGUUCUGGGCUACACACGUGCUACAAUGGCCGGUACAGACGGACGCAAAGCCGCGAGGUGGAGCAAAUCCUAAAAAGCCGGUCUCAGUUCGGAUUGCAGGCUGCAAUUCGCCUGCAUGAAGUCGGAAUCGCUAGUAAUCGCAGGCCAGCAUACUGCGGUGAAUACGUUCCCGGGCCUU